rnacentral:tRNA from 1 species
AUUCAAAUAGCUUAUUUAGAGUAUAAUAUUGAAGAUAUUAGGGAGAUUAUUAAAUCUUUGAAUA